UGGAUCCAGACUUUGAUUAUGGCUCAGGACGAACGCUGGCGGCGCGCCUAACACAUGCAAGUCGAACGAGAGAUGAAGAGCUUGCUCUCCAAAUCGAGUGGCGAACGGAUGAGUAACGCGUGAGGAACCUGCCUCAAAGAGGGGGACAACAGUUGGAAACGACUGCUAAUACCGCAUAAGCCCACGGCUCGGCAUCGAGCAGAGGGAAAAGGAGCAAUCCGCUUUGAGAUGGCCUCGCGUCCGAUUAGCUAGUUGGUGAGGUAACGGCCCACCAAGGCGACGAUCGGUAGCCGGACUGAGAGGUUGAACGGCCACAUUGGGACUGAGACACGGCCCAGACUCCUACGGGAGGCAGCAGUGGGGAAUAUUGCACAAUGGGGGAAACCCUGAUGCAGCGACGCCGCGUGGAGGAAGAAGGUCUUCGGAUUGUAAACUCCUGUUGUUGAGGAAGAUAAUGACGGUACUCAACAAGGAAGUGACGGCUAACUACGUGCCAGCAGCCGCGGUAAAACGUAGGUCACAAGCGUUGUCCGGAAUUACUGGGUGUAAAGGGAGCGCAGGCGGGAGAACAAGUUGGAAGUGAAAUCCACGGGCUCAACCCAUGAACUGCUUUCAAAACUGUUUUUCUUGAGUAGUGCAGAGGUAGGCGGAAUUCCCGGUGUAGCGGUGGAAUGCGUAGAUAUCGGGAGGAACACCAGUGGCGAAGGCGGCCUACUGGGCACCAACUGACGCUGAGGCUCGAAAGUGUGGGUAGCAAACAGGAUUAGAUACCCUGGUAGUCCACACCGUAAACGAUGAUUACUAGGUGUUGGAGGAUUGACCCCUUCAGUGCCGCAGUUAACACAAUAAGUAAUCCACCUGGGGAGUACGACCGCAAGGUUGCAACUCAAAGGAAUUGACGGA
rnacentral:rRNA from 1 species